rnacentral:rRNA from 1 species
GACGAAGGGGGCUAGCGUUGUUCGGAAUUACUGGGCGUAAAGCGAGUGUAGGUGGUUGUCCAAGUUGGAUGUGAAAGCCUUGAGCUCAACUCAAGAAAUGCAUUCAGGACUGGGCGGCUAGAGGACCGGAGAGGAUAGUGGAAUUCCCAGUGUAGUGGUGAAAUACGUAGAGAUUGGGAAGAACACCAGUGGCGAAGGCGGCUAUCUGGACGGUUUCUGACACUAAGGUGCGAAAGCGUGGGGAGCAAACAGG